rnacentral:tRNA from 4 species
GGCUGAGUAGCUCAGUUGGUAGAGCAGGGGAUUGAAAAUCCCCGUGUCGGCGGUUCGAUUCCGUCCUCAGCCACCA